rfam:Hyphomonas johnsonii MHS-2 contig3, whole genome shotgun sequence.
AGGCAGGUGGCGGACGGGCCAUUCGCCAAUCGGGUCAGGUCGGGAACGAAGCAGCCCCAACGAUUUCAGCCCGGGUCGUUCGCCUGUCUCCG